UGGGGGAUAUUGCACAAUGGGCGAAAGCCUGAUGCAGCGACGCCGCGUGGGGGAUGAAGGCUUUCGGGUUGUAAACCUCUUUCGCUAUCGAACAAGGCCCGCUUAGGGUGGGUUGAGGGUAGGUGGAGAAGAAGCGCCGGCUAACUACGUGCCAGCAGCCGCGGUAAUACGCAGGGCGCGAGCGUUGUCCGGAAUUAUUGGGCGUAAAGGGCUUGUAGGCGGCUUGUUGCGCCUGCUGUGAAAACGCGGGGCUUAACUUCGCGCGUGCAGUGGGUACGGGCAGGCUUGAGUGUGGUAGGGGUGACUGGAAUUCCAGGUGUAGCGGUGGAAUGCGCAGAUAUCUGGAGGAACACCGAUGGCGAAGGCAGGUCACUGGGCCAUUACUGACGCUGAGGAGCGAAAGCAUGGGUAGCGAACAGG
rnacentral:rRNA from 1 species